UACGUAGGUGGCAAGCGUUGUCCGGAAUUACUGGGUGUAAAGGGAGCGUAGGCGGGGUGUCAAGUCAGAAGUGAAAAUUACGGGCUCAACUCGUAACCUGCUUUUGAAACUGAUACUCUUGAGUGAAGUAGAGGCAAGCGGAAUUCCUAGUGUAGCGGUGAAAUGCGUAGAUAUUAGGAGGAACACCAGUGGCGAAGGCGGCUUGCUGGGCUUUUACUGACGCUGAGGCUCGAAAGCGUGGGGAGCAA
rnacentral:rRNA from 1 species